rnacentral:lncRNA from 1 species
CGACGGGAGACAAAACAAUGAGUUGGAGCGAGACAAAAUCCUGACGGUCCCGGGUGAACAAGAUGUACAUCCCAUCGUUAUUUCCUUCGGGACAUCCAUGGGACUGCAGAGAGUGCCACUGAGCGAAGGUGCGGCUGGCGCUCAGGAGCCGUCGCCGGACGAGAAGGCGGCCGCCGGGACGAGGGAGAGGAGGCCGGGGACCAUGCCACGUUUGUGUUGUCCACACCACGGCCACACGAAGAUCAUUUUGUGAAUGGGAGCUCGGAUGUCCUCAGAGGAUUCCUUGGCAAACACCAGACUGGUUUUCAUUCCUGAGGAGCGGGUUCUUCACACCUGUGGAGAGGACACGACUCCUAAGGAUCUUGUUCGAGAUCCUGGCCUGGCUUCGGGAGGUGGAGCGGCGUCUGGAUGCUCCAAAGUUAAGUGGUUCAGGUCAAGGUGGAUAAAAUAGGGUAGGACGCACUCUGGCCUUAUUAGCUACGGUCACUCAGUAACUGAAUGAGAGUGAUGUUCAGAAUUCAAGAUUUUUUCUUGACGAAGGGGUGAUUAAUGAGGCAUCUCAAAUCUAACCAGUGUUGCGAACUUUGUCUUGGGUUUUCACAAUUAGCAGGAUUGAUAAACAACAUUCUGUGUCCACAGAGACAACGUCUCACAAGGCUUUAGAGAUGGGGAAGCAUCCUUUUCUCUGAUGGAUAGUGCUCUCGGGACGCCACGCGCCUCGAGGAAGCACAAAGAAGACUGGAUGAUUCCAUGGGGCUAUUAAUGUGGGCGGGAAAAAGAAUGGGGAAGCUAAUGGGGGAAACCCAGCAGGUUUUCUUGCUCAGUCUAACCUCGGAAGAUUACAGGUCAGUAUUAAAGAGGGAUAGACAAGACCAGCAUUCAUUAAUGGGCGGGUUAAGGUCAGCAAUUAAGGGGUACAUCUAUUUAUUCCCCUUAAGAAGCAAGAGUCUCACUACGAUAUGAUACACGUAACAGUUCGGCCUGGAAUUUCUUCUGGGCGACUGAUGAUGUACUUGGUCCUCCCUCCACCAGGGUUAGGGUUAGAAGGCCACAGGUUCCCGAAACCUGUCGGACAGACCGUAGCCUUUCCCACAAACAAAGAUUGCUGCCGCUUAUGUAUUUAUUUCAGAGUCAUGGGACCUGUUCAUGGCGGAGGGGGGCACGUGAAGACGUCUUCUUCGGCGACUACGCCCAGCGAAGAUGACCAGGGUUGCGUCGCGAUGGAUUUAUUGAGGCGAUAGCAAGAAGAGUUCUGAAAUCCCCCAUGGCGUCCAGCCGCGAGUAAG